GGGAGAAGGAUGGAUAAAAAACAGAUGCCGGAGAUUUGAGAAUCCUCGACCUGGACCUUCAGUGGACUAGUCCAGUCCAAGGCAAUGUGCAUUCACGAAUCACACCUAAUUUCAUCAAAAACGACCAAGAACUCAAGGACUCUGAUCUUCCAAAGUUUUGGAGUGAAGGCGGUCGUAGACUUCCGUUCGAAUCGGAGUUCCAAGAAAACGAGAUUUUCUGAGAGAGAAGGACGCCGCCAUGCGUCGGCCGGGAUAAGGAGGAGCGCGGCAGAAUCGACUUAGACACGUGUCGCAUUCCGGCUGGUGAGGCGUGCUCUACAUGUUGGCUUACACGCGGCAGAGUGCGGGAUUCAAGCCAACCCGAGUCCAAAGUGGGUGACCCGAACCGCAUCUGGAAAACCGCCCCGACGCGAUUGUCCGACCAGGAUUUCUGGUCCGCAGGCGUUGUGCGAGUAGAUACG